GAUGAACGCUGGCGGCGUGCUUAACACAUGCAAGUCGAACGGGAAUUCCUUUAUUGACACUUCGGUCGAUUUAAUUUAAUUCUAGUGGCGGACGGGUGAGUAACGCGUGGGUACCCUGCCUUAUACAGGGGGAUAACAGUCAGAAAUGGCUGCUAAUACCGCAUAAGCGCACAGAGCUGCAUGGCUCGGUGUGAACAACUCCGGUGGUAUAAGAUGGACCCGCGUUGGAUUAGCUUGUUGGUGGGGUAACGGCCCACCAAGGCGACGAUCCAUAGCCGGCCUGAGAGGGUGAACGGCCACAUUGGGACUGAGACACGGCCCAGACUCCUACGGGAGGCAGCAGUGGGGAAUAUUGCACAAUGGGGGAAACCCUGAUGCAGCGACGCCGCGUGAAGGAAGAAGUAUCUCGGUAUGUAAACUUCUAUCAGCAGGGAAGAUAGUGACGGUACCUGACGAAGAAGCCCCGGCUAACUACGUG
rnacentral:rRNA from 1 species